GGGUUAGUCUAGGGGUAUUAUUCUUGCUUGGGGUGCAAGAGGUCCCAGGUUCAAAUCCCAGAUGAGGCC